UGUGGCUUAGUGGUAGAGUGCUUGCCUAGCAUGCAUGAAGCCCUGGGUUUGAUUUCCCAGUA
rnacentral:tRNA from 1 species